UCCCUAGUGGCCUAGUGGUUAGGACUCUGUACCUUCACUGCUGUGGCCCAGGUUCCAUCCCUGGUUGGGGAA
rnacentral:tRNA from 1 species